rnacentral:lncRNA from 1 species
AUUCUAGGAAGUAUUUUUCGACCACUCCGUCCUCCCCAUCCCCAGCGCGUGACCGUCCACUGCUAGUGCCGCCGCUGCACCCUGUGCCGCACCCGCGCAUCUCUGGCGAUCACCAAGCCGCUGCCUCGGCUUCCUUCGCCGCCGGCGUCCCCUCUCUCCGGCUCCGGGCCUCUCCCUUUCUUUCCCCUCUCUUCCUCCACACCUCGCCACAGCACCACCGCUCUCACCCGCUGCCGACUCCACGCCGGGCCAUGCCCUCACUCAUUCUCCACCAUUGCCGCUCAUAGCCAACACAGUGGCCGCCACUCCACAUCCUCCGCCACCAGCCCUCGAGCUGUCACCGCGACGCCAUCGGACCACCAACCGCACCGCACCCUGACAGCCACUCCAUUCUCCAUUCCAAGAUUAAAAAAUGGGUGAGUUUAUUUUUUCAUUGAUCUGAAUAGUAACUGUUUGUGAGAUUGGCCCUGUUUGUGGGCUUUGAUUUGGGCUUCUGAGUGAGAGUGGUGAGAUCCUUUGUAUUAUUUGAGAUUCGUUCGGGAAGCUGUUGAGAGCUACGUUGCUGGAGGCUCAAUUGUACAUAGGUAUAUAUAUAUAUAUAUAUAUAUAUAUAUAUAUAUAUAUAUAUAUAUAUAUAUAUAUUCAUUUUUUUUAUUUUUUUAAAUCAAACAAAAAUAAAACCAUUUUCUAAUAGGAAGAAAUCAUCUUUCCUAAAGGAUUAUUUUUCUUAUAAGAAAUUGAAUUAGAUUUUCUUACUUUGUAAAAAAUCUUGUUUUCAAUAAAGCCUAAAAAAAUUAUUUUUCUUGCAAAUAGAAUUAAAUUGAAAUAUCUUUUGGAAAUAAAUUUGUAAAAUCC